UAUUGCGGGCGUCAGCAAAAAAAAAGAGAAGAUGGGGGAAGUCCCCCCACGAGCGCAACCCCUCUCGCUAGUAGCCAGCACCACGGGGGGGGACACUAGAGAAACCCGCCCGGACAAACCCGGGGAAAGGGGGGGUGACGCCAAGAGAUCAUGGCCCCUAUGGCCGGGGCACCACCCCCGCGACAAAGGGCGGCACAAAGGGCCGCCAAGACCGCGGGGAAGAGCCAAUACCCCCAAAGCCGCGCCUCGGCCGGAUCUCUUUUCUCCACCCCGGGGAAAAAAGCCUCUCUUUUUUCCGAAAGGGGGGAGAAGCCAGGACUCGUCAAGGAGGGGGA
rnacentral:rRNA from 1 species